rnacentral:rRNA from 1 species
GGCGGACGGCUGAGUAACGCGUAGGUGACCUGCCUCGAAGUGGGGAAUAACUGCCCGAAAGGGUGGCUGAAUACCGCAUACGUUCACACGUUCAUUCAUGUGAGCAAAGCCGAAAGGCGCUUCGAGAGGGGCCUGCGUCCGAUUAGCUCGUUGGUGGGGUAACGGUCACCAAGGCGACGAUCGGUAGGUGGUCUGAGAGGACGAUCACCCAGACUGGGAGCGUGAGACACGGCCAGACUCCUACGGGAGGCAGCAGUCGGGAAUUUUGCACAAUUGGGCGAAAGCCUGAUGCAGCAACGCCGGCGGUGAAGGGGAUGACGGGNCUUCGGGUUGUAAACCUCUUUUUCUCAGGGGACGAUGAUGACGGUACCUGAGGAAUAAGCCACGGUUACUACGUGCCAGCCGCCGCG